CCUCGCCGCCACCCGCCCCUCCCCUCGCAGAUCCAGAUCGCCGUGCUCUGCUCCUCCCUCCUUCCCCUCCGGCAAGAUCCCACAUCCAUCGAUCCAUCCAUCAACCGGAACCAGAUCCAAUCCUCCUCCCUCCCUCCUCGCCCCGGCUCCCUGCUCCCCUCCCCUUCCAGAUCGCCGCCACCACCUCCCUCCUCCUCCCUCGCCCCGGUUCCCUGCUCCGCCUCGACGGGCCGGUGCACCGCCAUGACCGCAACGAGCCCAAUCCCAUCGCCGAAUCUCGGAACAUCGCCACGGCUCCCUGCUCCGCGGCGGCCGAGGCGGCGCGGGAGCUGCGUGACGCGGUGGCGGCCCUCGCCGUGCGCCGCGCCGCCGACGAGGACGCGCUGCGGUGCCGCGCCGUCGCGCUGGACGCCGAUGUCCGCCGCCUACAUGGCUCCCUCGCCCCCCUGGACCCCGCCACGCUCGACAAGUCAGUGCCUCCAAUGUGGUCGACGACGAGUGCAUCGGGGAUUCGGGGUCGUCUUCAAGAAGGACAAGACCAGGGCCUCCAAUGGAUCAGGGGUUUGUGCAGGUCAUCACCAUGGUACACCGAGGUGCUGCGGGUGUCAAGGAAGACGAUUGUUCGGUUGAGACAGUGAAGAGAGGAUAGCGUGCGGAGGGGGAGGACGUCGGUUCCAGCUGCUUAGAUUACUCGAGGGGCGGAGUGCUGCUAUUCGCCAGUUCCUAUUUUGAAUACAUUAGGCUGAGCAGUUUUCUAAAAUCUUAGGAUGCGUCUUUCUGUAGAAUUGGGGAGGUGACGUUACAGCAGGAUAUAUCUCGUGCAAGGCUCUGGUUCUUUGAGGGCCAAAAGAAGAUCUUGCUUUAUAGUGAGAGAUCUCACUUCUUCCACGGAUACAAGAUCAGGGGAGGACAUCAUUUGGUCGUCUACUCAUUGCGAGGGAGAAAAUAUUUCUAUCCAAAGCUUGUAAAUAUGCUCGGUGAAUCAGCAAAUCCCAGGUGUAAUGUGUUUUUUUCUCGUCUAAACCUCCUUAAGGUGAGACGACCGUUUCUUGUAGAAGUUUGGUUCCAUGUACAGCACUUCAGCCACAAAGUUCAUGGGGCAUCGAAGUUACAGUCUGCACCAGCUGGAGCAGAUCGUCGGAAUGUCGUCUGCACGGAGGCUGAUUUCUUCCGACAAGGAUAUGUUUGUCUUCUGUUGACCGUGCGCAUGAGCGUAUGACGGCCUUACCGACUAGCAGAAUUUUGGAACAUGAGCUGAAAAUUCGCUGUUGACUAGUCUAGCUGAAAGUGUGUGUACCUGAAGUUGCGGUAGCGGAUUAUUACCUUGUAGAGGGUUACUGCUUCCAAAUUUUGUUUCUCCUCAUCAAUCUUGAGCAUCUCUUGGUUCUACAGAGCUUAGUCGUUGUGCCAAAAGUCACCAGUUUGGAAUUCUGGGAAAACAUUCAACUGCCUUUUUUUAGCAUCGACUUUGUCUUAUUGAUUAGAUAGAUACAGUUGGUGCAGCAGAUUGAAAAACCUCGAAACGAAAUCUUUCUGAUCCCUGGGGAAGACGGUCAAAUUGGAGGAAAAUCCAUAGGCCGACGACCCCAUUGCCUGCAUCCUGUAGGAGUAUAAGAUAACCAAAAGUUCAGCAAAAUAAAGUCUCCACACUCACCGCCUUUUCACUCUGUUUCUUGCUUCCUAAACCUACACUUGUAGUGUUUCUUGCUUCCUAAACCUGCACCUGUAGUAGCUUAUUGUUAUCCUGGUUGUUUUGUUGCUAUCAAUAUUAGUCCCAUGUUUUGUUUCCUUGCAUGCUUACUACUAUAAUCUAUACUACUGUUAUUGUCAUAUCUACUACUUGUGGUUCCCUCAAAUUAUCUAUAUCUGCUAUUGUCAUAUCUCUAUUCACAUGUACAGUCAAACAUCUUUGUACUACUACUGUUGUUGUAUGGCAAACACCAGAGGCAAAUCAUAUUUGUGAUGCAGUUUCUGUAACUUGGCAUUUCUACAUGGCUUGUUUAUAUUGGCAAUUAUACACUAACGAUGAUGUUUACCUGCACUGCUUAAUUUUGUUUAUCUUGAUCUUGAUGGACAAAACAUCACAUGUUUCUUUUCUGUCUAAGACAUAACAAACAUGUCUUUUUCGUUGUUGAGCUUAAUUAUAGGCUCUUGUGCAGCAGCAACCGUUGAUUUUGAUUUCAGCUGAUCAAUCAUCUGUCCUUGUGUAGCACAAGGGUUCGAUGGGGAUACAACAUCAGCAGGAUGACCAUGACUCCAUCAAUUGCAAGCUCUAGACUCAAAGGAGGCAGUACGCAAGGCACAAAGGUACAUGGUGCUCGCAAGCGACGAACGGAGGCUGUUCGACAUCGCUACACAAACCAUCAUUGAGCUCCAGGUGUACGGAAUUUGAAGUUCGAAGCUGUAUAGCCCUACUCAGCAAAGAGCCGUAUAGACUGUAAAUAUUGUAAUAUUGUAACAGGGUGCAAGCGGCGGGGGCUGCCUGCUAAUACCGCAACGCCGCCCCGCUAAACACAUCAUAAGUGGGAUCCCGCUGCUGUACGCAAAAGUCAAGCGGGGUCCGCAAUUUGCCCGCGUACGCACACAUUUAUACAUAUGCGCUAUUGUUUCCGUAUAUUUGCACGCGUGAUCUUUCCCCAGCACCAGCUCGUGGCUCAUGCGGUCCCCUCGCCUGAACUUGGCCACGUAGAUGAUGAUGAUCUGCCCCAGCGCAAUCCGCUUUGCUACGGGGCCCGGCGAGUUUGGUAGCGCCACCGCGAACGUGCUCAGCGCUACCACGGCCGACGUGGCCAGCACUGACUCGGUGGCGCCCGUGCGGUGCACCAGCCACAGCGCCAGGACAAAGGGGAUGGUGCCCAUGACGGUGGCGUGGAGUGCGCUGGCCGCGGCGCACAGGGCGGUGCCGACGGUGGCAUCCGUGACGAUGAUGACCGUCACGAGGUAGGAGAUGGCGGGAAAGGUGAGGUGGCGCUUGAGGGCCGGC
rnacentral:rRNA from 1 species